CAUCUUUACCUCACCUCUGCUUUCAGGAGCCUGGAAAGACAGUCUGGAAGAUUGGGCGGCUGAAGACUGGAAUGAAGAUCUAUCUGAGACCAAAGUGUUCACUGCUUCUUAUGCGCUUGGCUCCAAGAACCUUGUGCAGCCUGGACAGGGGAUGGAUCUCGGCUCUCUGUUGCCUAAGGUGGCUGAGGGCGACUCGGAGCUGACCGGAUUGGAGCCGUCAUCUCCUGAUGCUCUCACCCAGAGCCUGGUGUUCACCAACUCUCAGCAGCACACCACCCGAACACACACACACAGCUACGCUUCUGCUGCUGCUGGCACUUAUGCACAUGCC